rnacentral:lncRNA from 1 species
GGUGCAGCGCAGUUCGGAGAGGACGUCUGCCUUUACAAGGGCGACUGGAGGAGGCGCGGGGCAGCCACGAGAGGCAGUCCCCGCGCAGGGAACGCCGGCUCGGCGGCGGCCACGCCAGGCCCUCUCGGAGCUGCGCGCCGAGCCCCCGCCCUCGCCGGUCCGGCCGCGGCCCUCCCGCCCCGGCGGAACCGCGGUGGAUUGUGGGCUGGGGGCUGCGGCGGCCUGGCGGCGGCCUGCUGCGCGCUCUCCGAGGACCCAGCCGCGCCGGCCGGUGGCGUGAGGGGGGCGGCGGCGGCGCGGCGGCGGCGGCGGGAGCUGAGGCGCCGGGGGCGGUGGUCGCGGCGCGGCGGCGGCGGCUCCCCUGGAGGCCGGGAUGUGGGAGAGGCGGCGGCAGCAGCGGCGGAGGCGGCGCUGCGGACCCGGGGGAAACUGCUGGCUGACAGGACACCCGGGCGAGACGUGAGGGGCCCGCCGCGGCCGCUCUGCCCCCGAGCGGCGCUGGGCUCGAGAGGGCGGCCCUGUGCUCCUGGGCCCGCUGGCCAGCAGGCGCGGGGCGGAGGCGGGAACCGGGCUCGGGCCCGGCUCGCAGGGCGGCGGCGGCGGCCGCGGAGCAGCAGUCUUGGCGCGACGUGGAAGGAUGGAGGCGGCGGUGCACUAGGCCUCGUCAGGGGGCUGCCGCCCAGGACCGCAGGUAGGUGCCGGCCCCGCGCUCAGCGGCCACCCUCUCCCGACCCGGGGCCCGGAGGGUCGAGUCCCCACCCCCUCCGCGUCCUCGGGGCCGGUAACCGCGCCAGGCUUCCAUUCUCCCCGCCGCCACCACUUCCUUCUCGGCUCUCCCCGGGAUCCGGGCCGGCAGCUGUGCUCCGCCGCUGCAGGAGUCCGGACGCAGGUGCCGCGCUGGUCCCCUCGCCCCUCUCCCGGAUCCCGGAUCAGGAACUUCCACCACUCCCCCAAGACACUAAGUCCAAACUUUCCCAAUCCUUCCAGCCAGGCCCUCAGCCCUCUUUGGAGCUUUCUGAAGUAAAAACAAUACCCUCUGGAGAAUACUAA